GACGAACGCUGGCGGCGUGCCUAAUACAUGCAAGUAGAACGCAGUUGCGAACGGGUGAGUAACGCGUAGGUCACUGCCUGGUAGCGGGGGAUAACUAUUGGAAACGAUAGCUAAUACCGCAUACUACCAGAUGGACCUGCGUUGUAUUAGCUAGUUGGUGAGGUAACGGCUCACCAAGGCAACGAUACAUAGCCGACCUUGGAGGGGGGACGGCAACACUGGGACUGAGACAAGGCCCAGACGUCUACGGGAGGCAGCAGGAGGGAAUCUGCGGCAAUGGGGGGAAACCUGACCGAGCAAAGGCGCGUGAGUGAAGAAGGGUUUCGGAGCGUAAAGCUCUGUUGUUAAGGAAGCGGUACUUAACCAGAAAGGGACGGCUAACUACGUGCCAGCAGCCGCGGUAAUUC
rnacentral:rRNA from 1 species